UACGUAGGGUGCAAGCGUUGUCCGGAUUUAUUGGGCGUAAAGAGCUCGUAGGCGGUUUGUCGCGUCUGCUGUGAAAACCCGAGGCUCAACCUCGGGCCUGCAGUGGGUACGGGCAGACUAGAGUGCGGUAGGGGAGAUUGGAAUUCCUGGUGUAGCGGUGAAAUGCGCAGAUAUCAGGAGGAACACCGGUGGCGAAGGCGGGUCUCUGGGCCGAUACUGACGCUGAGGAGCGAAAGCGUGGGGAGCGAACAGG
rnacentral:rRNA from 1 species